GAAAAUGAUCCCACUGAUACUAUUUCAUGUACAUUGCAUUGUAAAGUGUUAAUCUAAUUAUGGAAAGCUAGGCAAUUAUUCCUCUCCUAAAAAUUCUUUGCUCAUGUCCUUGGCCUCUGUUCGCAAGGAAAAAUACCUACAAGGAACUUUGGGUUGUUAUUUAGUCAUCAUCAUUUUCAAUGGUUUUGAAUGGAACUUUGAGUUGCAGGGGUGUCCCUCUUUCUAUUGCUUAACUGACACGACCCACCCCGAAUUUCACCCUGAAACCCAGAGUAAGUCGUGCGGGGACCACCUCCAAGGAAAAUUUACUGAAAAGAUUAAGCAAAUCUCCCUUGCAGAUGGACAACCCUAAGUCGAAAAUUUCAUAUUACACUCUUAAUUUAACGCUUCUGAAUAUCACAUAAUAUACAAAAAUUCUAAAGUAUUCAGAGCUACUAAACACAAGCGGAAGCAAGAAAACACGAGUAGGUUGAACAGGUAACCUACUGAUGAAAACUGGCCGAAAAGCGGGUGACUAUGCCUCGUCUCCUACUAGAUCCAACCCGAACUCUGCAGACUGGGCAAUUUAAAACGAAGGGCCCAGGGGAAACAUUUAAUAACGUUAGAGUGAGUGGACN
rnacentral:lncRNA from 1 species